rnacentral:piRNA from 1 species
UGAGAUGCUUAUGAGGUGAAGAGAAGAGC